CCUACGGGAGGCAGCAGUGGGGAAUAUUGGACAAUGGGGGGAACCCUGAUCCAGCGACGCCGCGUGAGUGAAGAAGUAUUUCGGUAUGUAAAGCUCUAUCAGCAGGGAAGAAAAUGACGGUACCUGACUAAGAAGCCCCGGCUAACUACGUGCCAGCAGCCGCGGUAAUACGUAGGGGGCAAGCGUUAUCCGGAUUUACUGGGUGUAAAGGGAGCGUAGACGGUGCAGCAAGUCUGAUGUGAAAGGUCGGGGCCCAACCCCGGGACUGCAUUGGAAACUGUAUGGCUGGAGUGCAGGAGAGGUAAGUGGAAUUCCUAGUGUAGCGGUGAAAUGCGUAGAUAUUAGGAGGAACACCAGUGGCGAAGGCGGCUUACUGGACUGUAACUGACGUUGAGGCUCGAAAGCGUGGGGAGCAAACAGGAUUAGAUACCCGGGUAGUC
rnacentral:rRNA from 1 species